CUCUCCAAGGGCUGGUUUGACUCAAAGCGCUCUACAUCUGCACGUGUAGCCAUGCCCUAUAAGUGAAAUGUUUCUGUAGGAGUGACUAGGAGCUGCUUUCUACACAGAUCAUAAAUACUCAGUAUUUUCUUCAGGGACUGGCCUAAACACUGAACCAAGCUCCAAAAGAAGACACUGGAAAGGUAUCUACUUUAUGAGCAGAGAAUAGCAGGAGGAAAAUGAAGUAUAACUGAGACGAACACAAAAAACACUAAUGGCUAUAGAUUCCAUGCCAUCAGAAAAAAAACAUAGGGAGCAGUUUUCCACAGGAACAUCUUGACAGCAGUGGCCAGUAAUGAAAUCGGAAUACAGCAAGGAACAUCCAGAACUCAACACAUCAGUGAGGCUGCGUGAUUAUCAUUGGCAGACAAGCAAUGAUCUCCAGAUAAAGGGGUGUCUCAAAUCCAGCAAGGGAAAAGAUGUUAAUAAACAUGUUGGGCCCAAGACCUCCUUGUUAAAAUGACACUACCCAAGCCCCACAACAAGCGAAAUUCAUU